GGAGUUGAAGAAAGCUGUCCUUGCAGCUCAGACCCUCAUUGCUUCAGCACUGAAGACACAUGGAUCUGUGAGCUUCUGUAGCCUACUCCUGGGUCUAGCCACUAUAUGACUCAAAGUUUUCCUUCAAAAAGCGUUGCUCCCACACAAUGGGGCCAAUUUUUGUUCAGGACAAAAGAAAAUAUAAACAGAGCAUGGAUUUGGAAUAUGAGCAAGGCCUCCGAGCCUGAAGAAAUCUUCCGCCGCGGGGAAGGGCUGUGCUAUGCUCACCAUCUGCCAACAGCGUUGGGCCGACCAAGCGCCAGCCAGUACCUCCGCUUGCUUUGCCGGUGCCUCCAGAAGGCUGAUGGCUUAGACUCGUGGUAUGAAUUAACUUCUCAAUUUAGACUCCUUGGAGUCGCUGAGCACCUGAAGUGCUUACAUUGCAGGUGAGGCCGGGCGACUGGCUGCCCUGAGCAGGUGCGCAGGCAAAUCCUCAAGGUGGUAGGGUAUGACAAGUACUGAGCUCACCAGCCAAAGUCCCGGAGAGCAGCUCCACGCAAAAGAGAGUUGGUUACCAGACAGCCACACUGGUCUUCUGAUAGGGCUUGGUGUGCAAACCUCCUAGACGCUCCCCCAGGCACCGAGGCACACGUGCUCUCAUGGAGAAGCUUUAUGGCAGCAAGUCACCCAGGUCUGCACACAUGAAUGUGUGCACUGGGCCGUGACAAGCUGAUUUAUGCCAGAAGAGUUGAUUUAUUAUGGGUGAUAUAAACCAACUGCAGCAAGGGCCUCCUAUCUCCAGGCUCACUGACUGAAGCUCAGAAGCUGCUGGUAAAUGCCCCGUGAAACAUUUAUCUAGAUAAAACAAUGUUCAGCCGUCAGCAGAUGAACUUCAUUUGUGUCCCCUGUCUUGCCAGAUCUUGUACUGAGCUACUGAGAUGCAAGUUGGCCUGUUCAAAGUCUACAGUCAAAUUCUGCCUCUACUGAAACUCCUGAGACUUUGGUCCACUUGGUCUGCUCUGGGAUUUUGCAUUGGCACAACAGCUGAAGAGAUUGACAGGCUGGGAUGAGAAGUGACCCAAGGAAAAGAGAAUAAAUGGAAGCAAUCAACAAUCAAACUUUCAAAGGCUGUUUUUAUAAACAACAUUAAAACGUUGCCUCUUAGUUCUUUGCCUUUACUUAAUGACUAGCAUAGCAAUAACCCCAUUUGCAACUUUUCUGCCUACAAUUUUUCUAUACACAUGGUUCCACCUGUAAGGUAAAAGAAUGUCCCUGCAGCUCUUGUAGUGCCAGAAGAGCCUUCAGCAAAGAACAGGCCAAUGAAAUCACUUGGAAAAAGUCGUGUGGCUGCCCACCAGAGCCGGGGCCCCCAAGGCUGUGCUCAGUAAUGGUGGCGCCAUGGCUGUAUGCACAGCCAGCAUUGCUUCCGAGUCACACAGCCUGGACCUGAGACUGGGAAAUGCAAGAGUGGAGGAGUUCUGAAAAAAAAGAUCCCAUGACGUAAGGAGGCGACACCACAAAGUAGCUCUAAAGAAAAAGAGUGAUGAGGCAGAAGUGAAGGGUCUGGGCCUGGAGAAGCGACAGCCAAGAGCUGCAGAAGGGCUGAGUGCAGCCUGUGAAAGCCGAGCUUUGCUUACUGAAUGCUGGCUAUCUAAAUGUGCCUUUGUCAGCCCUCGGAGCUCCAGAGCAGCUCAUGAUUGCUAAGCCCUGCAACAUAAACAGCCCCAGAGCCAAAUUCACCCUCGACAAAACACAAAUUAAUUUAACCUUAUUCUCCUCGAAAUAAAGUCAGCACUUAUCAGAACCC
rnacentral:lncRNA from 1 species